UUUACUAUUUCUUUCCCGCCCUGAUCACUCCCGAAUCCAUCCCUUCUGAAGAGUCGAGUUCAAGUCUCUUUGUACGAUCUCUUUUCGGAGCUUCAAUUUUUUCGUUUCUUGCGAAUUGUUAUUGGUGAUCGCUAAACCCUAGUAUACAACCAUCAGUAGUUCUAGGGUUUUCUCCGGUGGCGCUCAAAGAUCCGGGGCGGGAACUGUUAGAAGGGUAAGGUUGGAGAACUUUAUGUGCCAUAGUAGUCUUGAAAUCGGACUCGGCGAGUUGGUUAAUUUCAUUACCGGUCAAAACGGAAGGAAGAGCGCGAUACAAACUGCUUUAUGUAUAGCGUUCGGCGGAGAAACUAAAAGGGCUUAGAAGUUGAAGGAGUUUAUAAAAACUGGCUACAGUUAUGGUAUUGUUCAAGUAAAUAUUAACAAUGGAGGAGUUGAUUCUUUUAAGCCAGAUAUUUUCGGUGAUACCAUUAUUAUAGUUACUGACUCUA